rnacentral:rRNA from 1 species
CGGAAACAGGCCCGUCUUCGGGCAGUAAUUCGGACGGUCGCUGCCUGAUGUUCCAUUGGUACAUAACCGGCAACAACACGGUACUUAACCCGUUAACAUGUAACGACAUCCAAUUUGCAUAUGACGGAAAAUUACCCCCCAGCUGCCCCUGCCCCACCAGUGGGACCCCCGACUUAACUCGGCUUUACGGAAGCGAAAAAAAAGAAACCAUAUCCCUUGAUCCGCCGCACAAGCUCCCGAGCUCGCGGGCAUGGCGACGGCGGAGGCGGAAAGCAAUGGCUUUGAGUUCCUGUCGGAUCCCAUGGACAGAUUUCCGCCGAUGGAUCUAUCCCACGACAACUCCCUGGAGUAUGACGAAGGCGCUGAAGUUCUUAUCCGCGCCCGGUCAGAUUCCAGCAUGGGCGACGCUGGGGAUGCAGCGCUUACAGUGGAUGCCGAUCUGAACAGUACUUGCGAAGCCGUCGCCCUGACGGUGGCACCUUCAAAGACGUCAACAGGGAGGGACGAUCCUCAGGUGCCUGGAUGGACAAGGAGAGUCCGUGUUGGAAGAGCACCAAUGGAACGCUCCCCCCCUGCGCCGGCGGGACAACUGCCCUGGAAAAAGCACUUCGUGGUUAUGCAAAUGAGAAGACACCAACCGUCAUAGUACAUGUAGUCGGAAGCACAUUUGAUUCACUUGGGGAGGCGUACGAUUUUUACAAUCUCUAUUUAUGGGAAAAAGGGUUUGGAAUCAGGUACAGCAAAAGCAGGCUAAAUGUGGAGAGAACAAAGUGCAUGCAAGAGAUUGUGUGUGGUUGCUCGGGUGUCCCCAAAAGAAGCAACACACGAACCUGUCGCUGCCGAUGUCCCGCAAUGAUAAGGUUACUCCGGACAAAUGACAAUGGCUGGUAUAUUAGUGAGCACAGAGCAUCCCAUAAUCACUCACUAACGGAAAAUUGUAGCGAGAAGCUGUACUGGCCUUCACACAGACAUAUUGACAUAUACACAAGAGAUGUUGUGAAGCAGCUGCGCGAAAACAACAUAAGUAUUGGUAAGGUGUACAACAUAAUUGGUAGUUUCUUCGGCGCAAUGAGCAACGUGCCAUUCAGCAAGAGAGCUUUGAGGGGGUUGUGUGGACAGAUCAGCAGAGAACAAGUUGAUGAUGAUGUGCGCAAAACAAUGGAAGUUUUUGCUGAGCUUGGAGCAAAAGACUCUGGCUUGUACUACAGGGUGCAGCCAGAUGAGGACAAUCGGAUAAGGAAUUUGUUGUGGUCAACAGGAGCAAGCAGGUCUCAGUACCAUUUCUUCGGAGAUGCAAUAACAUUUGACACCACAUACCGGACAAAUAUGUAGGACAUGCCUUUCGGCUUAUUUGUGGGAGUCAACAAUCACUUCCGAACUAUUAUCUUUGGCGGCGUCCUGGUUCGAGAUGAGACUGUUGAAACCUUUGAGUGGGUAUUCACCGAGUUCAUCCGUAUGAUGGGUGGUAAACACCCACAAACUGUACUUACAGAUCAGUGCAGGGCGAUGGAGCUAGCACUGGAGAACGUCAUGCCCGACACAACUCACAGGUGGUGCAAGUGGCAUGUGCUCAAGAGUGCAAAGGAAAAACUUGGCCCACUUUAUACAAAACGAAGCAAAUUCAGAUCAGAGUUUCACAAGAGAAUCCAACACAUGCUAACAGUUGAUGAGUUUGAGACUGCAUGGAAGGAUCUGAUAGAAAGCCAUGGUUUACAAACACACCCUUACCUCACAAACAUCUAUGAAACAAGGGAGAAAUGGGCAAAGCCAUACUUCAACGGCAAAUUCUGCGCGAAGAUGACAAGCACACAGCGCAGCGAGAGUGCCAACCACAUGCUGAAGGGUUAUGUCCCAGCAAGUUGCCCAAUGCACCUAUUUGUCCGUCAAUACAUGAGGCUACUUUUCAAUAGGGAGGCAAGUGAAAACUAUGAAGAGAGGCGUACAAAAAUAACACCCCCAGUCAUGAAAAUGAAUGCACCACUUGAAAUGCAUGCCAGUGAGAUAUACACCCGGGCUAUGUUCGAUAAGUUUGGCGAUGUUGUGUAUGAAUCAAUGCAGUACAAAGUAGAAGAGGUCUGCAAGGGAGAAACUUAUUUGGUACGGCGAUACCAUCCAGAAAAACAUGAGAAAUGGUGCAGAGUAGUGUACAGGGUAGAAGUUGACAAACUAGCAGACAAACUGAGGUGCGAGUGUGCUAACUUCGAGCACACAGGCUUGCUUUGCUGCCAUUCAGUGAAGGUCCUUGACUUCCUUGGUAUAGACUGUAUACAAGCACACCAUAUUUUGAAACGAUGGACAAAGGACGCACGGGAUGUUCUACCAAAUCAUCUAUCACACCUCCAGAAGGACAUCAUUUCUCUGAACUCAGUUACAUUCAGGCACUCAAACUUGUACACUCAUGCUCUCGAAGUUGUGCAUUUGGGUGAUUCCAACACAGAAGCAUACGAGUGUGCCAUGGAUAUCUUGAAGAAAGCAAUGGACACAUUGACUCCAAUAGCAGCCUUGCAGGAUGGUAUGGGCUUGGAAGCAAGAAUUGAGACACAAAAAAUAAAACAAAAAGAUUUGGUUCCCCUGUCUGUCCCCUACAACACAGCGUGCAGUGAUGCUGAAGGAAGUGCAGUUGGUAAUUUUAGUGGCCUCAGAGCUCCAGAACGCAAACGGAAACCAGGCCGACCAACCACCAGCAGGGACAAACCUCCAUACGACGACCAGAGUGCAAAGAAUAAGUCACACACUCCUAAUGUGCAUGCUGCGAAUGGUUAUGGCACAAGUAAGUGAACUUGCUUCUGUAGUAUAUGCCGGGAACCAGGACACAAGAGCCCCACAUGCCCGAAGAGAGGUGACAUGCCUCACAAAGAGAGGAAAGAAGCAAAAUGCUCAAACUGUGGGGUUGGUGGCCACAGGAAGAAUACUUGCAACAAGCCUAAGGUCGUCCUCCAUGUUGUUCCAUCUACUGGAUUCGACCCAAGCACCAUCUGUGAAUGAUUAUACUCUACAUUGCAAAUCUAUCUUGAUGAGGGCUCUGUAGCCAUUCGUUUGCAAAACGAGAAAAGAAAUUGUUAAAAAAGAGUUGGUAGUUUUCCGUCCUGUGAGGUGUAUCAGUAUGCUUCAUGCAGAAAUAAUGUUUCAAUUUGUUGUUUUCAUAAAUUAGUAGCUGUGGUUGUUUUCCAGCCUGCAGUCGCUUCCCUGUAAAGAACAAAUGGUCGUUUUCUGUUUUCUGAGAUGUAUCAUCAGUAUGCUUUAUGCAGACAUAAAUGUUGGAAUUUGUUGUUCACAUAAAUUAGUAGCUGUGGUUGACC